UCUUUGGCGCCGGGAUAGAACCGGGGAUCUUGGGUCCCGAGCCGAACAUCUUAUCCACUAGACAAAAG